CCCUUAGAUGUUCUGGGCCGCACGCGCGCUACACUGACGAAUGCAACGAGCUUAUAACCUUGGCCGAAAGGUCUGGGUAAUCUCCAAAUUUCGUCGUGAUGGGGAUAGAUUAUUGCAAUUAUUAAUCUUCAACGAGGAAUGCCUAGUAAGCGCAAGUCAUCAGCUUGCGUUGAUUACGUCCCUGCCCUUUUUACACACCGCCCGUCGCUCCUACCGAUUGAAUGGUCCGGUGAAGCGUUCGGACCGUGGCCUUUGGACGGUUCGCCGUCUGUUGGCUGCGGGAAGUUCGUUAAACCUUAUCAUUUAGAGGAAGGAGAAGUCGUAACA
rnacentral:rRNA from 1 species